UCAGGAUGAACGCUGGCGGCGUGCUUAACACAUGCAAGUCGAGCGAAGCACUCUGGAAGAUUCCUUCGGGAUGAUUCCUUAGUGACUAGCGGCGGACGGGUGAGUAACGCGUGGGCAACCUGCCUUGUACAGGGGGAUAACAGUUAGAAAUGACUGCUAAUACCGCAUAAGCGCACAGCAUGGCAUCAUGCAGUGCGAAAAACUCCGGUGGUACAAGAUGGGCCCGCGUUGGAUUAGCUAGUUGGUGGGGUAACGGCCCACCAAGGCGACGAUCCAUAGCCGGACUGAGAGGUCGAACGGCCACAUUGGGACUGAGACACGGCCCAGACUCCUACGGGAGGCAGCAGUGGGGAAUAUUGCACAAUGGAGGAAACUCUGAUGCAAGCGACGCCGCGUGAGUGAUGAAGUAUUUCGGUAUGUAAAGCUCUAUCAGCAGGGAAGAAGACGACGGUACCUGACUAAGAAGCCCCGGCUAACUACGUGCCAGCAGCGGC
rnacentral:rRNA from 1 species